rnacentral:rRNA from 1 species
CCUACGGGAGGCAGCAGUGGGGAAUAUUGCACAAUGGGCGAGAGCCUGAUGCAGCAACGCCGCGUGAGCGAUGAAGGCCUUCGGGUCGGAAAGCUCUGUCCUCAAGGAAGAUAAUGACGGUACUUGAGGAGGAAGCCCCGGCCAACUACGUGCCAGCAGCCGCGGUAAUACGUAGGGGGCUAGCGUUAUCCGGAUUUACUGGGUGUAAAGGGUGCGUAGGUGGAUUCUUAAGUCAGAGGUGAAAGGUUACGGCUCAACCGUAGUAAGCCUUUGAAACUGGGAAACUUGAGUGCGGGAGAGGAGAGCGGAAUUCGUAGUGUAGCGGUGAAAUGCGUAGAUAUUAGGAGGAACACCAGUUGCGAAGGCGGCUCUCUGGCCUGUAACUGACACUGAGGCACGAAAGCGUGGGGAGCAAACAGGAUUAGAUACCCGUGUAGUC